GCGUAGGUAUCUAUCCUCGGGUGGGGGACAACCACGGGAAACUGUGGCUAAUACCGCAUGAUGACUGAGGUCCAAAGGCGCAAGUCGCCUGGGGAGGAGCCUGCGUCCGAUUAGCUUGUUGGUGGGGUAACGGCCUACCAAGGCUCCGAUCGGUAGCUGGUCUGAGAGGAUGAUCAGCCACACUGGGACUGAGACACGGCCCAGACUCCUACGGGAGGCAGCAGUGGGGAAUAUUGGACAAUGGGCGAAAGCCUGAUCCAGCAAUGCCGCGUGGGUGAAGAAGGUCUUCGGAUUGUAAAGCCCUUUCGGCGGGGACGAUGAUGACGGUACCCGCAGAAGAAGCCCCGGCUAACUUCGUGCCAGCAGCCGCGGUAAUACGAAGGGGGCUAGCGUUGCUCGGAUUGACUGGGCGUAAAGGGCGCGUAGGCGGCUUGUACAGUCAGACGUGAAAUUCCUGGGCUCAACCUGGGGGCUGCGUUUGAUACGUAUGGGCUUGAGUUCGGAAGAGGGUCGUGGAAUUCCCAGUGUAGAGGUGAAAUUCGUAGAUAUUGGGAAGAACACCGGUGGCGAAGGCGGCGACCUGGUCCGAUACUGACGCUGAGGCGCGAAAGCGUGGGGGAGCAAACAGGAUUAGAUACCCUGGUAGUCCACGCCGUAAACGAUGUGCGCUGGAUGUUGGGUGACAUAGUCAUUCAGUGUCGUAGCUAACGCGAUAAGCGCACCGCCUGGGGAGUACGGCCGCA
rnacentral:rRNA from 1 species